rnacentral:rRNA from 1 species
UACGUAGGGGGCAAGCGUUGUCCGGAUUUAUUGGGCGUAAAGAGCGUGUAGGCGGUUUGGUAGGUCCGUUGUGAAAACUCGAGGCUCAACCUCGAGACGCCGGCGGAAACCAUCAGGCUAGAGUCCGGAAGAGGAGAGUGGAAUUCCUGGUGUAGCGGUGAAAUGCGGCAGAAUAUCAGGAAGAACACCCGUGGCUAAGGCGGCUCCUCUAGUAACGGUACUGACGCUGAGACGCGAAAGCGUGGGGAGCGAACAGG